rnacentral:rRNA from 1 species
ACGAACGCUGGCGGCGUGCCUAAUACAUGCACGUCGAGCGGACGAAUCGAAAGCUUGCUUUUGAUUCGUUAGCGGCGGACGGGUGAGUAACACGUGGGCAACCUGCCCUGUAGACGGGGAUAACGCCGAGAAAUCGGUGCUAAUACCGGAUAACACGAAAUGUUGCAUGACGUUUCGUUGAAAGACGGCGCAAGCUGUCGCUACAGGAUGGGCCCGCGGCGCAUUAGCUAGUUGGUGAGGUAACGGCUCACCAAGGCGACGAUGCGUAGCCGACCUGAGAGGGUGAUCGGCCACACUGGGACUGAGACACGGCCCAGACUCCUACGGGAGGCAGCAGUAGGGAAUCUUCCGCAAUGGACGAAAGUCUGACGGAGCAACGCCGCGUGAGCGAAGAAGGCCUUCGGGUCGUAAAGCUCUGUUGUUAGGGAAGAACAAGUAACGCAGUAACUGGCGUUACCGUGACGGUACCUAACGAGAAAGCCACGGCUAACUACGUG